rnacentral:rRNA from 1 species
UACGUAGGGGGCAAGCGUUGUCCGGAAUUAUUGGGCGUAAAGAGCUCGUAGGCGGUUCGUCGCGUCGGCUGUGAAAACCCGGAGCUCAACUCCGGGCCUGCAGUCGAUACGGGCGGACUUGAGUGUUGCAGGGGAGACUGGAAUUCCUGGUGUAGCGGUGAAAUGCGCAGAUAUCAGGAGGAACACCGGUGGCGAAGGCGGCAUCCUGGACCAACACUGACGCUGAGGAGCGAAAGCCAGGGGAGCAAACGGG